UACAGAGACUGCAAGCGUUAUUCGGAUUCACUGGGCGUAAAGGGUGCGCAGGCGGCCAAGUGUGUUAGGUGUGAAAGCCCGGGGCUUAACCCCGGAAUUGCACCUAAAACUACAUGGCUAGAGCAUUGGAGAGGGGAGCAGAAUUCACGGUGUAGCAGUGAAAUGCGUAGAUAUCGUGAGGAACACCAGAGGCGAAGGCGGCACCCUGGACAAUUACUGACGCUCAGGCACGAAAGCGUGGGGAGCAAAAGGG
rnacentral:rRNA from 1 species